AUUGAACGCUGGCGGCAGGCCUAACACAUGCAAGUCGACCGAGUGGCGGACGGGUGAGUAAUGUCUGGGGAACUGCCCGAUGGAGGGGGAGAAAGAAUGGAAACGGUAGAUAAUAACGCAUACCAUCGGAUGUGCCCCGAUGGGAUUAGCUAGUAGGUGGGGUAACGGCUCACCUAGGCGACGGUCCCUAGCUGGUCUAAGAGGAGGACCAGCCACACUGGAACUGAGACACGGUCCAGACUCCUACGGGAGGCAGCAGUGGGGAAUAUUGCACAAUGGGCGAAAGCCUGAUGCAGCCAUGCCGCGUGUAUGAAGAAGGCCUUCGGGUUGUAAAGUACUUUCAGCGAGGAGGCGUUACUCGCAGAAGAAGCACCGGCUAACUCCGUGCCAGCAGCCGCGGUAAUUC
rnacentral:rRNA from 1 species